UCUGUGGCUGGGGAGAGAAAGAGUCAAGUCAUAAGUGUAUAAAGAUAAACUUCCUUUCAGUUGACUGAAUGUCAAGUGGUUUCAACUGAAGCUGCUAAAAAAAAAAAAUCCUCAUUCACUGCCAUUGACGGCCAUUUGAACUGGUCUGGCAGUGAAUGAGUUAAAAAGAGAAAAUUCUCAUUACCAAAAAACUGGUUGGAUGAUGGCGGCGGAUUUGUCGUCCGCGAACGCACUUCUUCACAGACGAUUGGACCGUCGACUUCCUCGGAUUCUAUCAACGUAAAAAAGAGGGGGGAAAUGAAAUAAAUAAGCAUGUUGUCUGGGUUAAGCACACAUCCUCAUCAAGUUGGAGCCUUUUCCAGUUGAGGUGCGGUCCACACUGGUUACCAACCAAUCACAGGACCCGUACCAUUCAUGUUCACACCUAUGGAUCAUUCAGAGACUUUAACUAAUGAACUUCCAUGUUUAUGGAAUGUGGAUGGACAUGAGUGCCGAACUUCAAAACCAAGCCUCAGAACUAUGAGGCAAGGCACAUUUUCUAACCACUUAACCUUGCUUGUCCAGUGCUUUGUGUUUUUCUAGUGUUCACACACACUGAAAAACAAGAACUAAUAAGUAACAAAGUGGUGACCACAUCUCUAUUGUGUAGUUCCACUUUACAUGACUAGGUAUUUUUUUUAAAGAAUACCUAAGCCACGGUCAACUGCUACACAGGAGGGAUCGGUGAUGGAAGUUGGCCCUGGAUAUGAAAGGAAAACGUGACAUUAUAUGCAGAUAAAAGUCAUGCAGUAUGUAUUAAAGAAAUAAUAGAUUAUGUCUCACCUAUGGUGACAGUAGCAGGGUCGCUCCACAUUUCGUGAAACAAAUUGAACACUUUGCAUCUGUACUGUCCUCUGUGUGCUGUGGUCACGCACGGGAUCUGGAAAGUCAGAAACGGAACUUGUAGCUGAUCACCUUUGGAAAUGUUACCCUGUUUUGCAAAAUAUAAGAUGAGGGUGACUUACUUUGAGUAAACGUAUCUUGUUUUGUGGCAUCGGAGUUGAGUUGUGGUACCACUGGUACUGGGCAGGGGGGUUGGCCACGGCACUGCACUUCAGGAGCAGCGUGUCACCUUCAGAUGCCAUUUGGGACUGAGGCUGGGAGAUGAUACGCACGGCAGUGGAUGAGCCUGAAAACAUACGGCUGCUGCAGCCUGAAUUGACAACAUUUGAAAAGGUUCAUGGAGCUUUGUAAAGUGGCUAGUGUGAAAAUCAUAAUGUUCACUUGGAGGGUCAUACCUGGACUCAAGCUAGGUUUGGAACGGAGCAAGCGCACCCGAGCCCACUGGGAGAAGACGCAGGUGUCUCCAUAGUUGACCCUACAGAUGUAGCUACCCUUGUGCUCGGGGCCCAAAGGACACACAACGAGCUCGGGUGUGCGUCCGCUGGCUUCCCAAAUCUGAUACAGAGACAAUUAUAGAAUAAUUUAAUCUGAUCUCCAUAUCCGGUCAUUGCUAAUAGCAACGCUCACCUCUUCUUUGCCUUUAAACCAUUGGUAAACUAAUCCAGGAGGCCCACAGGCUCGGCAAGUCAACACAACUCUGCUGCCCAAUGUGGCCUGCUGGGAGUUAGGAUGGACCGUGAUCUGGAUGUUCUCUGUUGCUGUUUUACAUAAAGAGCAAACACUCAUUUGAGUCAAUGCUCUUUAAUAAUAAUAAUAACUAUGAUCAAGUCAUGUCUUUGGGUGGACAUUUAGCCCGGUAGAAGCCUACCUGUAGUGGUGAGCAGCUGCACGGCCUCCUGGUGGUCAAUCUUCUUCAGACACUGGAGCAGAAAGAGCAGAGAGCAGGAUCGGUCGACCAGAAGAGCUAAGAAGCUGCGCCCUGGGCUUCCUGUUGCACUUAGAACUUGGAGCGAGCAGUUGGUCACAUCCCUUUCACUGCACAGGGGGAAUUUAGUGUUAGAUAUACUGUAAACUCCCAGAAGGUUCAUGAUGAAUUCAACUACACACGUUUGCGUCUUUUGAUUCGCUGUCCUACAAUUUUCCCAAUAAAAAUGAAUUUGAAUAAGUGAA